AUUUAUAUAGUAUAAAUAAUAUUUUUAACUUCCAAUUAAAAGAUCUAUAACUAGUAUAAAUA
rnacentral:tRNA from 1 species